GGCCCUGUAGCUCAGUCGGAUAGAGCAACGGAUUCCUAAUCCGUUUGUCGCCGGUUCGAGUCCGGCCAGGGCCU
rnacentral:tRNA from 1 species